AGGGUUUGAUCAUGGCUCAGGAUGAACGCUAGCUACAGGCUUAACACAUGCAAGUCGAGGGACAGCGGGAUUGAAGCUUGCUUCAAUUGCCGGCGACCGGCGCACGGGUGAGUAACGCGUAUCCAACCUUCCGUACACUCAGGGAUAGCCUUUCGAAAGAAAGAUUAAUACCUGAUGGUAUGAUGAGAUUGCAUGAUAGCAUCAUUAAAGAUUUAUCGGUGUACGAUGGGCUCGCGUCCGAUUAGGUAGUUGGUGAGGUAACGGCCCACCAAGCCGACGAUCGGUAGCCGACCUGAGAGGGUGAUCGGCCACAUUGGGACUGAGACACGGCCCAA
rnacentral:rRNA from 1 species